AGAUGUGAUGCUGUGGACUUUCCUCAUCAUAGGCCACCAACCUACAAUACUCACCACAAGCCUUCAUUGAGGAUUUGAGCUCCUAGACGUCCGUUGAGGGUGGAAGAAUUUGGCAUUGCUAGAAGUCUCAAAAAACCAUGUCGGCUUUUCAGAAGUGAUGAUUUCAAGAUCUGCCAAUUCAUUCUUAUCUGGGCCAAGAAUGGAUGUUUGAUAUCUGGAUAUCUUUUACUUGAGAAAGCAGCCACUAGGUCCAGUAGUUUGGGCGAUAUGGUGCUGAGAAGUCAUACUUUUCACUCCACAUGCCAAGGAAGAGAUGAAUUCCUUGAAGAUGAGGAAUCUCCACGUCAAAGGAGGAUAACUGUUGGUAAAGACAUGAUGUGACCCUAUAUUGUGACCCAUUGCUUAAAUUAAAAAGGCUAGGAUGCUAUCCAUAUCAUAUUUAUUUAAAGUGAGUGGAGUGAAGUAACGUGAUGUGUAGCCAAGUAUGUUAACCCAUACUCAGAAUUUGUGCUCUACCUUUAUCCUAUCCCAUCCACACAGCAGUGAAUAGUGAACACACACACACACACACACACACACACACACACACACACACACACACACACACACAAUCACACACACACCGUGAACACACACGGCACCUGGGGAGCAAUUGGGGGUUCAAGGGCAUCUUAGUCAUGGGUUCUGAGGGUGGAAGAGAGUGCUGUUCAUCCACUCCCCCGACCUACAAUUUCUGCAGCUACUGGAAAUCGAACCUUUACCUUCUGGGUUCAGGUUCAACUCUCUAACCAUUAGGCCACCCAUUUUGUAUUAGACUUUGAAAAAGCCCAUUAUGUGUUGUGUUUCUGAGGCUUCCCACUAGACUAGUGUAACCAGAAAGACCUUCUUGGUCAAAUAACUUAACCAGCACCAAGUUUUG
ensembl:lncRNA